rnacentral:rRNA from 1 species
UACGUAGGGUGCGAGCGUUGUCCGGAUUUAUUGGGCGUAAAGAGCUCGUAGGCGGUUUGUCGCGUCGGCCGUGAAAUCUCCACGCUUAACGUGGAGCGUGCGGUCGAUACGGGCAGACUUGAGUUCGGUAGGGGAGACUGGAAUUCCUGGUGUAGCGGUGAAAUGCGCAGAUAUCAGGAGGAACACCGGUGGCGAAGGCGGGUCUCUGGGCCGAUACUGACGCUCAUGCACGAAAGCGUGGGGAGCAAACAGG